UACGUAGGGGGCGAGCGUUGUCCGGAUUCAUUGGGCGUAAAGCGCGCGUAGGCGGCUUCGUAAGUCGGCCGUGAAAUCUCCAGGCUUAACUUGGAGGGGUCGGGCGAGACUGCGGAGCUCGAGGUGGGCAGAGGGCAGUGGAAUUCCGGGUGUAGUGGUGGAAUGCGUAGAGAUCCGGAGGAACACCAGUGGCGAAGGCGGCUGCCUGGGCCCUGGGCCUGAC
rnacentral:rRNA from 1 species